UAUGAAUCGUUUUAAGUUUGUUUAAACUUUAAACCGGAUUUAAUAAACUGCUAAUGAAUCGUUUCAGUGUUGAGCACAUACGUUAGGGAAAUCUGAUGAUAGUCGCCGAUGUCGCAGAAAUCUGGUUCUCCUAGAAAACUGGUUCCCACAGGCUAUUUAUAACUUAUUAUAUGAGGAAUCUAGAACUCUGGUUCCGACUAAAAUAACACUUGUUGGAUGCGACAUUUUUCAUUUUCGCGACACUGGACCAGUCUGAGUCUACUAUGCAGAAAUUCUAGGACGGUGCUCGUACUAUCUGAACUUUGGUGUAAAAUCGACCCCUUUCUUCGUUACCCAACAGCAUUCCACGAAAUAUAAACAUUCGGGAUUUUUUUAAACUUGUCAAAUAAAAUGUUCUAAU